rnacentral:rRNA from 1 species
GUCGUAGGGGGCAGACGCGAAACCGGGUGAUCUACCCAUGGGCAGGUUGAAGGAGGGGUAAAACCCUCUGGAGGACCGAACACACCUACGUUGAAAAGUGGGGUGAUGACCUGUGGGGAGGAGUUAAAGUCUAAUCAUACCCGGAGAUAUCUCGUUCUCCCCGAAAUAGCUUUAGGGCUAGCCUCGCGUUACAUCGUGUGGGGGUAGGGCUACUGGAUGGGGCUGGGGGGCUUACCGCCUACCCACCCCAACCAAACUCCGAAUACCACACGACUCUGUCGCGGGAGUCAGUCCAUGGGAGAUAAUUUCCAUGGUCGAAAGGGAAACAGCCCAGACCGCCAGCUAAGGUCCCUGAUCGGGCCUCAGUUACUAAGGUAGUCAGAUUGCACAGACAGCCAGGAUGUUGGCUUAGAAGCAGCCAUCAUUUAAAGAGUGCGUAACAGCUCACUGGUCGAGGAAUCUGGCGCCGAUAAUGAUCGGGAAUUAAGGUUUGAACCGAAACUGCGGAGUAUAUUUAUAUACUGGUAGGGGAGCGUAGCUGUCAGCAUUGAAGGUGUUCCGGAAGGAACAUUGGAGCGGCAGCUAGUGAAUAUGUAGGAUUGAGUAACGAUAAAUGGAGUGAGAAUCUCCAUCGCCGAAAACCUAAGGUUUCCUGGGGAAGGUAAAUCCGCCCAGGGUUAGGCGGGACCUAAGGCGAGGCCGAAAGGCGUAGUCGAUGGACAGCAGGUUAAUAUUCCUGCCCCAUCAUGUGAGGUUGAUCCAGCGGUGCGGAUCUUGAAGUUCAGCGGGACAGUGAAGCGUCCAGGCCCUUGAGGCCGUUGCUGGGUAGAUAGGUUCCAAGAAAAGCCGUUUGGGGACGAUCAUGAUGCCCGUACUAAAACUGACACAGGUAGGUGUGGCGAAUAGCCUCAGGCGCUCGAGAAAAUGGUUGUGAAGGAACUAGGCAAAUUGACCCUGUAAGUUCGCGAUAAAGGGGCCCUAUCCAUUUAUGGAAGGGCGCAGAGAAAAGGCUCUGGCGACUGUUUAUCAAAAACACAGCACUGUGCUAACACGCAAGUGGACGUAUACAGUGUGACUCCUGCUCGGUGCCGGAAUGUUAAGGAAGCAGGUUAGUCCUUUAGUGGGCAAAGCUUGUGACUGAAGCACCGGUAAACAGCGGCCGUAACUAUGACGGUCCUAAGGUAGCGAAGUUCCUUGUCGGGUAAGUUCCGACCCGCACGAAAGGCGUAACGAUACGGGCACUGUCUCCACAACGGGCUCGGUGAAAUUGUAGUCGUGGUGAAGAUGCCACGUACCCGCGGUUAGACGGAAAGACCCCGUGAACCUUUACUGUAGGCUGAUAUUGGGCUGAAGUAUAUUCUGUGUAGGUUAGGUGGGAGGCUAUGAUCCAGCAGCGCCAGCUGUUGUGGAGCCAACCUUGAAAUACCACCCUGGCUAUGUUUUAGUUCUAACUUUGAA